ensembl:lncRNA
GGACAAUGUCGUUAGCUUCGCGCACUUAGACCCCUCCGAGUCCCAGAUCUCGGUCGGGACGGAGCCCGAGGACGAGCUGACAGUCUCGGGCGUCACGCCUGACGGAUUUGACCUCACAUGGACGCUAAAGGCUCACGGCGUCUACGAUAGUCUGACAGUGGCGUAUAAAGACGCUCGGCCGUUACGGGAUGCGAGAGAGGCCCAGCUGCCCGGAGAUGCCGCUGGCUCUCGCAUCCGGGGCCUGAAUGCAUCCACAGAAUAUCAAAUAAAACUUUAUGGGAUCACUGGUAGCCAAAGAUCUGCGCUACUUGAAGCUGUCGCAGUCACAGAAUGCUGCCUCCCGAAAUACGAGAAUUCCGCCCGCAUCUGAGCGUUUAAAAGCAACCACUUUGUUCUCCUAAAGCCAAUUCCAUGUGCAUCGUUCAUCGUCUGCAUUUCCAUUUCCGAAUUAACGGUCGUCCGGCAGAAGAGGGCCACGUACGUCGCUCGCAUGAAGGAAAAGUGACUCGGGCCUCUAGAACGGCUGUGCAUGGCUUCAACAUGUAUUUGAAGAGCACGGUGUACUUCCGCUCCGGCGGACUACCCAGAGGCUUCAAAGGUUAAUGGCGCUGACUCCAGAGCCAUUAACGCCCGAGCUGUCGCUUGACGACAAAGUUGUCAAAGUCCGAAAUAACGGAGCGAGGAAAUAAGAGAAUGAGGUUAUUAAGGGCCGAGUCAUUUGGAUUGAGCAUAAGACGUGUUCUUCUUUUUAACCCAGUUUCUUCUUCACCGGUCUCGUCUUCCCAGUCGACCAGAUUCAAUAAUUUAACCUGCCUUUUUAUUCACACCAGCACCCGAGCCCACCUCUCCAGAUGUUCUCAUGCUGAGCAUCGAAGAUGCCACAACAGCUGCUCUGGCUGCAGCUCAAAGCCCAGACCCCCCCCUUCUCCCAAACCCCCCCGAUUCCGGGGUGACGGGCUCGGGCGCCGAGCCCGAGAGCGCUGGCGCGGUGGACGUUUUGGGGGCUCAUGUGAACUCACUACCGGUCGUGGGGGGUUUGUCCCCCUCCACGCGAUCUGAUGUCACAGUGCAAGGG